rnacentral:rRNA from 1 species
AACGCGAAGAACCUUACCUGGGCUUGACAUGUUGAUGACCGCCAUAGAAAUAUGGCUUUCCUUCGGGACAUCAUCACAGGUGGUGCAUGGCUGUCGUCAGCUCGUGUCGUGAGAUGUUGGGUUAAGUCCCGCAACGAGCGCAACCCCCGUCGUAUGUUGCCAGCAUUUAGUUGGGGACUCAUGCGAGACUGCCGGUGACAAACCGGAGGAAGGUGGGGAUGACGUCAAGUCAUCAUGCCCCUUAUGUCCAGGGCUACACACGUGCUACAUUGGCGCGCACAAAGGGUUGCGAUACCGCGAGGUGGAGCCAAUCCCUAAAAGCGCGUCUCGGUUCGGAUUGCAGGCUGAAACUCGCCUGCAUGAAGGUGGAGUUGCUAGUAAUCGUGGAUCAGCAUUGCCACGGUGAAUACGUUCCCGGGCCUUGUACACACCGUAGAGAC